CCCACAGCUGGCCUGCUUCUGCUGGAAAUUCCAUCCACAAGGAAGCAGGGGGAGUGGGCUGCUCGAGAGCCAGCCAGCAAAUUCCUGAAGCGUUAACAGAACAAAGAGGAGAGGUGGAGAAAGGAGGGCAGGAUACGAGAAGUUGCCAGUCCUCACUAAGCCCUGCAGAAUGUCACCUCAUCCUUCAGAGAUCUGCCCAAAUGUCACAUCUUCAGGAAAGCCAUCCAAGCCUUCCGAGAGGGACACAGUACUGGCGACAUACACUCUCCUAGCAAUCCACACUUCUCCUUCCAAGCACUUUCCCAUAAAAACUUAAUUACAGAGAGUUGAGAAAAUUAUUCUCUUGGAUUCAUGGGAUUCUGACAUCAUCAUUCCAUGCCAGGUCCCUGUGGUAGGCAGAAUAAUGGCCCCCCGAAGACGUCCAUGCCCUGGUCCCAGGCACCUGUGAGUAUGUCACCUCACAUGGUGAAACAGACUUUGCAGAUGUGAUUAAGAAAAGGAUUUUGAGAUCAGGAGACAGUCCUGGAUUAUCUGGGAGGGCCCAGUGUAAUCACAAGGGGCCACAUAAGUGGGAGACAUUUCUACCUGUCAAGGGCAGAGUCAGUGAAAGCGAUGUGAUGAUGGCAGCAGUCGGUGAAGGAGAUUUAAAGAUGCUCGCUGCUGCUCUAUGGAUGGAGGAAGGGGCCAUGAGUCAAGGAAGGUAGGCAGCCGGAAAGAAAACAGGCUCUGCCCAGGAGCCUCCAGAAGGAACAUGCCCUGCGGGCACCCUGACUUUCGCUGUGAGACUGAUUUUGGACUCCGGACCUUCAGCACUGUAAGAUAAGAAACUUGCGUUGUUGUAAGCCACUACGUUUGCAGAAAUGUGUUACCAGCAGUAGGAAAUGAAUACAACCCUGUUUUGUUUUACUUUUUGCUUUCAUCCCCCAAACUAGUCUAGUUCCCCUCCCUCACGUUGGCCCCCGCUCCAAUGUAUGUCCUCUAUGUCUUUAGAUAUGUGCGUAUCUUGGGGAAACAUACAGGGCUCUUUUAUGUGUACAUGUUUUGAAUUUACAUAAAUAUUAUUGUGCUUUAGCUCUCACACUUCCUUACAUUUUUUAUGUCAAUGCUGGU